UAAUACAGAGGGUGCGAGCGUUAAUCGGAAUAACUGGGCGUAAAGGGCGCGUAGGCGGUAGGAGACGUGUGAUGUGAAAGCCCCGGGCUUAACCUGGGAAGAGCAUGACAAACGAUUUUACUGGAGUAUAAGAGAGGGUGGCGGAAUUUCCGGUGUAGCGGUGAAAUGCGUAGAGAUCGGAAGGAACGUCGAUGGCGAAGGCAGCCACCUGGCUUGAUACUGACGCUGAGGCGCGAAAGCGUGGGGAGCGAACAGGAUUAGAUACCCUGGUAGUCCACGCUGUAAACGAUGAAGACUAGAUGUUGGGAGGGGAACCUUUCAGUAUCGAAGCUAACGCGAUAAGUUUUCCGCCUGGGAAGUACGGCCGCAAGGUUG
rnacentral:rRNA from 1 species